rnacentral:tRNA from 1 species
UCGCCACUGGUGUUGUGGUGCCACCAUGGCUUUGCAACCUAAAGGUCACGGGUUCGAUUCCCGGGUGGGACA